rnacentral:rRNA from 1 species
UACGUAGGGUGCGAGCGUUGUUCGGAAUUACUGGGCGUAAAGCGUACGUAGGCGGCGGGUUAAGUCGAAUGUUAAAGCCUGGGGCUCAACCCCAGAGAUGCACUCGAUACUGGCUUGCUAGAGGGUGAUAGAGGAAAGCGGAAUUCCCAGUGUAGCGGUGAAAUGCGUAGAUAUUGGGAGGAACAUCAGUAGCGAAGGCGGCUUUCUGGGUCACACCUGACGCUGAGGUACGAAAGCGUGGGGAGCAACGGG